GGGCUCACACAAGCGGUGGAGCAUGUGGCUUAAUUCGAGGCAACGCGAAGAACCUUAUCCUGGGUUUGACAUGUACGGAUGGCUCGCCUGAAAGGGAUGAGUCUGCCUUCGGGUGAAACGUACACAGGUGCUGCAUGGCUGUCGUCAGCUCGUGUCGUGAGAUGUAGGGUUAAGUCCUUAAACGAGCGCAACCCUUGUCCUUAGUUGCCAGCGGGUCAUGCCGGGACUCUAGGAGACCGCGGUGUUAAACGAGAAGUGGGACGACGUCAAGUCAUCAUGGCCUUAUGCCCAGGGCUGCACACGUGCUACAAUGGGACGUACAAAGGGAAGCGAACCCCGCGAGGGCAAGCAAAUCCCCAUAAAACCGUGGC
rnacentral:rRNA from 1 species